AACUUUCGACAGCGGAUCACUUGGCUCUCGCAUCGAUGAAGAACGCAGCGAAAUGCGAUACGUAAUGUGAAUUGCAGAAUUCAGUGAAUCAUCGAAUCUUUGAACGCAUAUUGCGCUCUUUGGUAUUCCGAAGAGCAUGCUUGUUUGAGUAUCAGUAAACACCUCAAAUCCUUCAAUUUGUUUUGAAGGCUUUGGACUUGAGCAAUCCCAACACCAGUCUUUACGAUCGGGGGAGGCUUGCUUGAAAUGCAUGUGCAGCUAAAAAUUCUCCGUAGUUAUACGCAUAUUUAUUCAGCCCCGUCGAACGGAUUAUUACUUUUGCUGCAGCUAACAUAAAGGGAGUCUGACCAUAUUGGCUGACUGAUGCAGGAUUUCACAAGGGUCGGCAACGAUUCUUGUAAAACUCGAUCUCAAAUCAAGUAAGACUACCCGCUGAACUUAAGCAUAUCAAUAAGCGGAGGCU
rnacentral:misc_RNA from 1 species